rnacentral:rRNA from 1 species
CGGUUGAUCCUGCCGGAGGUUACUGCUAUCGGAGUUCGAGUAAGCCAUGCGAGUCUAAAGGUUUCUUCGGAAACCUUGGCGGACUGCUCAGUAACACGUGGAUAACCUACCCUUAGGACUGGAAUAACCCCGGGAAACUGGGGAUAAUACCGGAUAGAUCAGGGAUGCUGGAAUGCACCUUGAUCUAAAGCUCCGGCGCCUAAGGAUGGGUCUGCGGCCUAUCAGGUUGUAGUGGGUGUAACGUACCUACUAGCCGACGACGGGUACGGGUUGUGAGAGCAAGAGCCCGGAGAUGGAUUCUGAGACACGAAUCCAGGCCCUACGGGGUGCAGCAGGCGCGAAACCUUUACAAUGUGCGAAAGCAUGAUAAGGGAACUCCGAGUGCCAGUAUCUAAUACUGGCUGUCCUUGUGCCUAAAACGCACAAGAUAGCAAGGGCCGGGUAAGACCGGUGCCAGCCGCCGCGGUAACACCGGCGGCCCGAGUGGUAGCCGCUAUUAUUGGGUCUAAAGGGUCCGUAGCCGGUUCGAUAAGUCCUCUGGGAAAUCUGGUUGCUUAACAAUCAGACUGCCAAGGGAUACUGUCGAACUUGAGACCGGGAGAGGUAAGAGGUACUUCAGGGGUAGGAGUGAAAUCUUGUAAUCCCUGGGGGACCAUCUGUGGCGAAGGCGUCUUACCAGAACGGGUCUGACGGUGAGGGACGAAAGCUGGGGGCGCAAACCGGAUUAGAUACCCGGGUAGUCCCAGCCGUAAACGAUGCUCGCUAUGUGUC